UUUUAAACUCCAUUAAAAAGGAAUUGAUUUAAAACAUUUUAAUCCUUUUAAAAUCCAUACUCAUAAAGCCUUAACUCAUGCUCUAUCUCAUAUUCUAUCUCUUUACUCAACUCUAUAUAAACUCUCCACUCAUCUCAAAUCCUUAAGUUCAAGGAUAGGUUUCAAGAAAAUCAUGGUACUAAGUCUCGAUUUAUCUCUCAUAUAAGGCUCGUCUAAUCUCAUUCAACACAUAGACAACACAAUCACAUAAGGCACAUAAGAAAACACAAUCAAACAUUAUCAAAACAUGCUCUGUUUUUACACUGACUCAACUUCAAAAUCUAACCUGUUCUUACUCCGACACCUCCUGGACUCGAGACUCAUACCAAAAGAAAGGUCAUCGAGUCUAUUUUCAUAUAAAAAAAAGUAGAGUCAAAAACUCGAAGUAUUGUAGGAGAUAUGACUGUUUUACUACAGUCUACCAUAUUCGGCAGUUUUGAGCAAUCGAAAACUUGGAUUUUUGAAAAAUAGUAAAUGUUGUCAAACUGGGCUCACAUUUUGUGGAUAUCUAGCUAACACAAUAAGGUUAAUACCAUAAAAUUUUGGAAAGCUAGAUCACACAGG
rnacentral:lncRNA from 1 species